rnacentral:rRNA from 1 species
GGCUUUCUAUAUUUUUAAAGUCUGACCUGCCCACUGAUUUUUUGAAGGGCCGUGGUAUACUGACCAUGCGAAGGUAGCAUAAUCAUUUGCCUCUUAAUUAGGGGCUGGAAUGAAUGGUUGGACGAGAAACUAGCUGUCUCUCUUAUUAACUUGAAUUUAAUCUUUUGGUGAAAAAGCUAAAAUACUCUCGUAGGACGAUAAGACCCUAUAGAUCUUUAUAAGUUGUCAUUUGAUUUCUUAGCUGUUAUUAAAUCUUGUUCAAGCUUAUUUUGUUGGGGCGACAUUGAGUGAAGAAUAAUCUCUCAUCAUAAUUUGACAGUUAUACCUGAUCAAUGAUCCUUUGAUGAAUUAGGAUAAAGUUACCUUAGGGAUAACAGCGUAAUUUCUUUUGAGAGUUCUAAUCGACAAGGAAGUUUGCGACCUCGAUGUUGGUUCAGGAUUCCUUUUAGGCGCAGUAGUUUAAAAAGGUAGUCUGUUCGACUAUUAAAUUCCU